GUGUUUGGCACCUCGAUGUCGGCUCAUCACAUCCUGGGGCUGAAGUAGGUCCCAAGGGUAUGGCUGUUCGCCAUUUAAAGUGGUACGCGAGCUGGGUUUAGAACGUCGUGAGACAGUUCGGUCCCUAUCUGCCGUGGGCGCUGGAGAAUUGAGGGGGGCUGCUCCUAGUACGAGAGGACCGGAGUGGACGCAUCACUGGUGUUCGGGUUGUCAUGCCAAUGGCAUUGCCCGGUAGCUAAAUGCGGAAGAGAUAAGUGCUGAAAGCAUCUAAGCACGAAACUUGCCCCGAGAUGAGUUCUCCCUGAGACUUUAAGUCUCCUGAAGGAACGUUGAAGACGACGACGUUGAUAGGCCGGGUGUGUAAGCGCAGCGAUGCGUUGAGCUAACCGGUACUAAUGAACCGUGAGGCUUAACCUU
rnacentral:rRNA from 1 species